rnacentral:rRNA from 1 species
AUUGAACGCUGGCGGCAUGCUUUACACAUGCAAGUCGAACGGCAGCGCGGGCUUCGGCCUGGCGGCGAGUGGCGAACGGGUGAGUAAUACAUCGGAACGUGCCCAGUAGUGGGGGAUAGCUCGGCGAAAGCCGGAUUAAUACCGCAUACGACCUGAGGGUGAAAGCGGGGGAUCUUCGGACCUCGCGCUAUUGGAGCGGCCGAUGGCAGAUUAGCUAGUUGGUGGAGUAAAGGCCUACCAAGGCGACGAUCUGUAGCUGGUCUGAGAGGACGACCAGCCACACUGGGACUGAGACACGGCCCAGACUCCUACGGGAGGCAGCAGUGGGGAAUUUUGGACAAUGGGCGAAAGCCUGAUCCAGCAAUGCCGCGUGUGCGAUGAAGGCCUUCGGGUUGUAAAGCACUUUUGGCGGGAACGAAAAGGACUGUGCCAAUACCACGGUUCGAUGACGGCACCCGCAGAAUAAGCACCGGCUAACUACGCG